GAUGAACGCUGGCGGCGUGCCUAAUACAUGCAAGUCGAGCGAACAGAUAAGGAGCUUGCUCCUUUGACGUUAGCGGCGGACGGGUGAGUAACACGUGGGUAACCUAUCUAUAAGACUGGAAUAACUCCGGGAAACCGGGGCUAAUGCCGGAUAACAUGUUGAACCGCAUGGUUCUACAGUGAAAGGCGGCUUUGCUGUCACUUAUAGAUGGACCCGCGCCGUAUUAGCUAGUUGGUGAGGUAACGGCUCACCAAGGCAACGAUACGUAGCCGACCUGAGAGGGUGAUCGGCCACACUGGAACUGCGACACGGUCCAGACUCCUACGGGAGGCAGCAGUAGGGAAUCUUCCGCAAUGGGCGAAAGCCUGACGGAGCAACGCCGCGUGAGUGAUGAAGGUCUUCGGAUCGUAAAACUCUGUUAUUAGGGAAGAACAAAUGCGUAAGUAACUGUGCGCGUCUUGACGGUACCUAAUCAGAAAGCCACGGCUAACUACGUG
rnacentral:rRNA from 1 species